rnacentral:rRNA from 1 species
AACGAACGCUGGCGGCGCGCCUAAUACAUGCAAGUCGAGCGAGAAGACGUAGCAAUACGUUUGUAAAGCGGCGAACGGGUGAGGAAUACAUGGGUAACCUACCCUCGAGUGGGGAAUAACUAGCCGAAAGGUUAGCUAAUACCGCGUACGCUCCUUGGACUUCGGUUCAGGGAGGAAAGCGAUACCGUGGGUAUCGCGCUCUUGGAUGGGCUCAUGUCCUAUCAGCUUGUUGGUGAGGUAACGGCUCACCAAGGCUUCGACGGGUAGCUGGUCUGAGAGGACGAUCAGCCACACUGGCACUGCGACACGGGCCAGACUCCUACGGAGGCAGCAGUAAGGAAUAUUGCGCAAUGGGCGAAAGCCUGACGCAGCGACGCCGCGUGGGGGAUGAAGGUC